GACGAACGCUGGCGGCGUGCUUAACACAUGCAAGUCGAACGGAAAGGCCCUGCUUUUGUGGGGUGCUCGAGUGGCGAACGGGUGAGUAACACGUGAGUAACCUGCCCUUGACUUUGGGAUAACUUCAGGAAACUGGGGCUAAUACCGGAUAGGAGCUCCUGCUGCAUGGUGGGGGUUGGAAAGUUUCGGCGGUUGGGGAUGGACUCGCGGCUUAUCAGCUUGUUGGUGGGGUAGUGGCUUACCAAGGCUUUGACGGGUAGCCGGCCUGAGAGGGUGACCGGCCACAUUGGGAUUGAGAUACGGCCCAGACUCCUACGGGAGGCAGCAGUGGGGAAUAUGGCAUAAUGGGAGGAAGCCUGAUGCAGCAACGCCGCGUGCGGGAUGACUGCCUUCGGGUUGUAAACCGCUUUCGCCUGUGACGAAGCGUGAGUGACGGUAAUGGGUAAAGAAGCACCGGCUAACUACGUG
rnacentral:rRNA from 1 species